rnacentral:rRNA from 1 species
GACGAACGCUGGCGGCGUGCUUAACACAUGCAAGUCGAACGGAAAGGCCUCUUUCGGGGGGUACUCGAGUGGCGAACGGGUGAGUAACACGUGAGUAGCCUGCCCUUGACUUUGGGAUAACUUCAGGAAACUGGGGCUAAUACCGGAUAGGAGCUCCUGCUGCAUGGUGGGGGUUGGAAAGUUUCGGCGGUUGGGGAUGGGCUGGCGGCUUAUCAGGUUGUUGGUGGGGUAGUGGCUUACCAAGGCGUUGACGGGUAGCCGGCCUGAGAGGGUGACCGGCCACAUUGGGACUGAGAGACGGACCAGAAGCCUACGGGAGGCAGUAGUCGAGAGUAUGGCACAAUGGGUGGGAGCCUGAGGCAGCGACGCCGGGUGCGGGAUGACGGCCUUCGGGUUGUGAACCGCUUUCGCUCAUGACGAAGCGUUGUGUGACGGUAGUGGGUAAAGAAGCACCGGCUAACUACGUG